GGUCGGUUGUGGGCGGCUGCCGUGUUGGCCGGGGCUGCCUUCAGCCAGGAGAGGGGUGCGGGGGCUCCGCGGAGCCGUGUGGUGGCGGGCGGCGAGGGUUAUGUCCCCGUCCCGGCGGCGGAGCCCGGCCGUGUGUGAGGCGCGGUCCUGGGCUCGCUGCUGCCUCGGUGCAGCCCCUGGGGGGCUCUGUUUAAAGGAUAUAGCCUAAAAGAAAGACAUAGGCAGUUUAAAGGAUAGGGGUGGCUCUGGGCUUUGGGGGCGUUGGGUCACACCUGGUGCUUCGCGUGAGGCGUGCAGCGAUAGGUUUCUGAGCUUAAAGGCGUAAUUGCUGGCGUUGUUUUAUAAACGCCAUAAGCUUUUCACUUGAAAGAUGAGCGAGUGUUGCGCUCUUGUGAUUCUGCCUCGGGUUUGGUCACCAAACGCAGCCGAUCUGACACCAGAUGGCAUCACACUGAGGCCGGAGCUGUGCAGUUGAGGCUGGUGCCCGCUGGCCGAGCACGCCUUGCAGGAGCGCGCACGUGGCUUGUGGGUGUAAAAUGGGUCUAAUUAGUGCGCUCUGCGCCUGGCAGGCUGUGCCGGCCGCUUUAUCUUCUGGUUCAUCGAGUCUUCAAAGCAGUAACAAAUUAGACAUCUGAAGAGACUUCUUUUUUGCAGAUAAGUCACUUUCACUGGCAAGCGCAUCGCCCUAAUUCUGAAGAUAAAUUACCCUUUUUCCCGCUGGGGAAUUUGGCUGGUGACCCUGACCAUGCCCUUUUUGGAUUGUAGGCACAGAUCCCAAAUGGUCUGAGAGAACAGGGACAGCCCCAGGGCUAUAGCAUGAGUACUGACCUUGGGUUCAAUCCAUAGGAAAACCUAUGGUGUCAGUAUGUUCCCCAGAGCAGGGCAAACAAAGUAGGGUUAAAGGUUGUCCUGCUGUACCUGGUGGGGUUCUCAUCUCCCCAGUGAUGAAUGUUCAUUAGGAGCAGCUUAAUCCUAGUCACUCUUUGUUCUGGAACUUCUUAGGUAAGGUGCUAUCUGUUCAAACUUAAUCUCAGCUGAUGCUGUCUGCUUUUCUCCCCAGGUAAUGAUAAAGCCAACAAUGCUUUCACUAGGUCAGCAGGCAGCAAAAGAAUUUCAGAGAUGAAUUGGUUUCUGGCUUUGGGAAUCUUCAGCCCGGACUGUGCUAUGCUGCUAUCAUGCAAGCAGAAAGAUGUCACGUGAAUUCUGGAGCUACAGAACUGAAUUUUGCCUUUGUACAAACUAUUUGAUCUCUGGGGCAUGGACCAGUAGGCCUCUCUUUCUCCUUCAAAUGCUGUCAGCAUGAAUAUUGGAAGGCGCUAUCAGAUGACCUCUGGUGUCCUCAAGCUGUGUGUGUACGUACAGCCAGCAGCAGACUCCGCUGACUCCCAGAAGUGUGGCUGUUGAAGAUUGAAAACAGUCUGAAGUGUGGAUUUCUAAUGCACUUGGAAAUGCUGUUGUGGCCCUUCUUGCUUCUCAGAAAUGCUGCUUGAUUCAAAGACUGAGUUCAGGUGAAAAUGUGAAUAAUACCUGAAUGGAGUUCAGGUGGGAGUGUGACUCUAGGAGGAGAGGUAGCCCUGCGGACACUGUUAGAACUCAGCAUUGGCAGUUGAGUGCACUCAGAAUGAUCAAAUUUGGAAAAAGCAAGUGUUAAAAGAUGUAGGAGAACUUGUGUGUUACCUUGUCUAAGUGAGUGUUUAUAAUGUUAACAGUGGCAACUGUUAUGCUCACUUUCAGUGCAGUGUUUGCGUAAAUAAAAUCCUGAAUUUGUGUUUUCA